CAGCAGCCGCGGUAAUACGUAGGGGGCAAGCGUUAUCCGGAAUAACUGGGCGUAAAGGGUGCGCAGGUGGUUUAACAAGUUAGUGGUGAAAGGCAUAGGCUCAACCAAUGUAAGCCAUUAAAACUGUUUAACUUGAGUGCAGGAGAGGAAAGUGGAAUUCCUAGUGUAGCGGUGAAAUGCGUAGAUAUUAGGAGGAAUACCAGUGGCGAAGGCGACUUUCUGGACUGCAACUGACACUGAGGCACGAAAGCGUGGGGAGCAAACAGGAUUAGAUACCCCGGUAGUCCCUGUCUCUUAUACA
rnacentral:rRNA from 1 species